rnacentral:rRNA from 1 species
UCUUUUAAAUGAUUUGAGAUGGCCUCUCGCCCUAUUCAGUGUAACAGCUGUGGUAGUGGGUUUGGUCGCUCGCAUUUAAAUAGGAAGGGUAAUGGUGGACCGCACUUCUCCCUUAGUAGGACGUUGCGACCUGUCAAAUAAUAGCCUAAGUAUUUGGCUAAUUUGUCUGUUUUUAGGCAGUACUGAAAGGUAUUUCCUUUAACAGUUUUAGCCGUUAACAUACUGGAUAUAAUUGACAGUAACGAAUCAUGGUGUUGAGCCACUUACUUUGUAAGUGUCCUUUAUGGCUGUUUGCAAGUGGGUUGGUUAAUUAGUUUUAGUCGGAUUUUGGUCCGUCUAACUAUUCCGCCUACUGUUGGUAAACUGUUCCUUGGACAGUGCUUAUAACACCGGUCGGCAGCAAUUCAGGUUCAGGCUCUUAUCCGACCCGUCUUGAAACACGGACCAAGGAGUUUAGCGUGUACGCAAGUCAUUGGGUGUAUAAAACCCAAAGGCGCAAUGAAAUUGAAA